GAAGGAAGGAAGGAAGCAAAAUGUGGAGGGCUUUAAAUGCCAAAUGAUAGAGUUUGUAUUUUUUAUAUCCUAGGCAAGAGGGAGCCACAGUGGAGUGAUAUAUUCAGAAACCUGUGCUUGAGGAAUAUUAAUUAUGUACCUCUAUGUAGAGGAUAGAUUGGAGAAGGGAUGGAGGGGUGGGAAGAUAUUGUAAUACUCUAGGUAAGAGGCCGUGGGUAGACUUGCACAAGGGUGGGAGCAGUGUGAAUAGAGAGGAAUGUCCUACGAGAGAGAUGAUGGUCCUUGGAGGCUGCUGGGAAGUGAGGGAGGGAUGAAGGGGAAGAGAGAGCUAAAAACUACUCCAAGGCUAAGACGCUGGCUGGCUGGAACAGAUGGCGAUGCCCUUAGCAGAAUCAGAGAAAUGGGGAAGACAAAUGGUUUUGGAGAACAACAGAGUGGUUUAGGCUGUGUCUGACUCUUGAUCUCCUCUGGGUGUCCAGUCUUUUGUCGCUGCUCUGGACUCACACCCUCAGUGUGCUCACCCAGACUGCGGCCGCCCAGCGGAGUUCACCUGUGACCUCCCUCAAGCUGAAGACAGCCUUGCAGAACCUAGAGUUCUGCUUUUAUGCUGAAGGCUGCGGCCUGUCCCCCGAAGCCCUUCACAUCCCUUCUUUACAGGAUCUGCAGAGGAAGCUGGAACUGCAGGCAUCUUCCAGUCAGGAACUCAUUCAAAGAUAUUUUAGCAACCGCAUCCAGCAGCAGGUGGACACCACUUCAGAGGAGUUUGGGGCCAUCACCAUCAAGGCCUCCUACCGACUCUCCGAACAGAAACUCCGUGUCGAGGUGCUCAGCGCUUCCAACCUGCUCCCCCUGGACUCCAAUG